CACCGGGACCACAAUCGGAGCUGUCAUUGGGGCCCUUACCAGAGGUUUGAAAGCCACCGGCAAAGCUUUGGGAAAUGGCCUCAAAGAUGUCACCGUGAAACUCGGUUCUCUGCUGCCUGGGCUGAUUGGCUCGAUCGUGAGCUUCCUGUUCAGAGCCGCCGGCCAAGUCAUCGGGUUUCUGGCUGAGCACACCUGGCUGCUCAUUCUUGCCACAGUGGCCUUUUUGUUCGAAAAAUAUUUUAAGAAGCAGCGUUAACUUACCGCCCAGCCAUGAACAGCAAAGCCGAUAAUCCAACUACACCGACAAUUACUGCCGUUUUGUUUAUUUCGUGUUGUGACGUUUUAUCUGUAGCCAUGGGCUCUAUUUUUUGUGCCGUUGGCCGUGCUUGCUGAGUUUCGGACGGAGCUGGUUUCCUUGAUUCGGCUGUUGCGGCUUUGUGUAUCGGGUUGGACAGAUGGCUGUUGGGUGGGUUAAUUUUUGACGGGCCGCCUGCCAUUAGUUUGAGCCCAGCUUUUUUUGUCCCCAGGUUUACCUGGUUGUUCACCCCAAGUUUCAUCCUAGAGACCGCCUGUUUCAGCUUGUUGUUGUAACCGACCGUGCUUGCAGUGUUUAUUAUCAUUUGCACAGGCAUGAGCCAGGCCAUGGGGGCUACAGCGAGAUUGAGCCUGACCUUCGCUUGAUCCACCGUGAGCUGGUACCUUUGCACACUCUUGGCCAAGUCGGGCUGUCUGAUCGCUUCUUCCAUCAACACUAGGAACUCGCUUUGGGCUUCUUUCGCCCGGCCACCUGAGCCGAGAAUGCUGCUGCGGACGUUGACUUGCGCACCCAGGAUGCAGUAAACGAAAGCCUCGAUUGACUGGUUGAUUCUCGACAACCCUACCUGCAUCAAACCAUUCGCGGUGUUGGGUGCAAACCAGUCGAACUGCGGAUCUCCAAAAACAUCGGGCCGUAUAAACUCGGUAAGGUUCCCCUUAAUCAGUUUUCCACCUUCGUCGCUAAACUUGUUCCAAUCAGGAUACUUAUAAUCUGUUUUUGUUGGCGAUUCCCCCCAAGUCUUAACAUACAACACCCCCAAACCACUAUUUGCACCCGAAGUAAACCUAAAGUCGCUUGAGGGGUCUAUGCCGAACUCGCCACAUAUCCUUUUGUAUGAAGCGACGUCAUAAUGAUUAUUCAUUUGGUUGAACGUCGGGUCUCCGGGCAAAGCACUUAUGCUCUGAACACCUCCUAGCUGGUACAAAAUGCGCCUGACCAUGAAAUACACGUGGAAGAUAUAAAAAGCUCUUAUCUGCGAUUUCGCAAAAAACUCCGCACCCCUGUGUCGCACUGAAAACCGCGAAGUUGAGCUGUUGCGGCCGAUAUUUCAUGUCUGGCCCUCCUAACCAGUGUUUUGAUUUGGUUCCACACGUGUGUUUGAGUUUGGUGUCUUGAAAUAUUUCUUGGAAUUUUGUUGUGAAAUAUUGGUCAAGCAUGACGUAGAUUUGGAUUGCAUCGUCGAAUAUUUUUUCAAGCUUGGCGCUUUGCCGUCGAAAGGUACCACAGGGAUUGGCAGGGAAACUUUUCAACCAAGUUGCGCCAAUUGGUACAGAAAACCCCCACCGUCUCCCAAACCAAGCGCUUCUUUCAUUUCGGCACUCCAAUAUUUUCUAUCUGAACUGAAGACGCUUUGAAACGAGUCUUCAGUUUCUUUGAAGAACACCUCCGUGGUCACGUUAUUUUUCUCGUCGACGCUUCCUUGCAAAAUGAACCGGCUUUUGUCCGCUUUGGGGAAGCGGUUUAAAAAGUUUGUCCACGCCUUUUUCUUCGCCACCUCUGCUUUUUUUAACACAGGACCAUUCCACAAAUUCGCCGUAUUAUUUGAACACAAUUUUUUUGUUGAAUAUAAAAAUGGUUGUUCUCACUAUUGUCACGCAACAGAACGGAGGGACAAUAUAUUUUGAAAAACCGAUACCGAAAGUGCAUUUCAUGAAACUCGUAUCUUGCAGUUUGUACAACAGCUGGGACACUUUGAAAAAAGAAGGUUCGGCCUCCUUGGGAGAUAAAAACAAAGAUAUACCUUUGUCAGUUAGUAAAUUACUCCCAGGGCAUUAUAAUUUAGAAAGCAUGGCAAAAGAAAUAAAAGGUCUGUUUGCAAAAUAUAAAUAUGACCUUGUAACAGAAAUAAACCAACCUCUUGGCCAGCUUGUAAUCAAAAAUUUUGGGUGAAAACCGAUUGAACUUGAUCGCGAUUUAGCCAAUUUGUUUAAUAUUAGGCAAAAUUUGGGUUUUAUGACAUUCGUAAAAAGGCUAACCGCUCCAAUGACAUAUUUUAUUCAUUGUAAUUUGAUCGACACAAUGGAAUCUGUUCAAUGGCAAAAGGUCAGAUGUAUUAGCCUUGUUUGAUGUGAAAGGGAAUCCUUAUGAAAAGGUGAACUACCAGGGUUCUCCGCAACAGGUUUUGCGAGACUGCUCUACAGACGAGUUCAUAAAUAGCAUCACUAUUAGCGUGAAAGAUCAAAAUGGCGAACUCUUUGAUUUCAAGGGCUUUCCGCUUCUUUUUGAAUUAGAGUUAAAUUAAAUUUCUAUAUAUACGCAAUGUCUUCGGCAAAUCUGUUACCACCAAGCGCGCCGCCUGCUGAGAAUGAAAGAAGACUCUAUCGAAGCCUUCCUGAAAUGACAAAUGCCAAGAAUUUCCGGCUAACUGAGAUAAGCAGAAUUGAAAACAAAAUAUCUGCUGAGGUCGAGCAUUACAGGCUUGUGUAUAAAAAAGCCCAGAAAGUGCUUCACUAUUCCGUGGUUGGCGUUGGCGCCGUCACGGCAGCUCUGUCUUCUUGGGCUGUCGCAACAUCACUCACCGGUGUUGGAAUUGUUGUCAGCACGCCUGUUGCCGGAAUAGCCGCUUUAUCUGGCACGGUUUCCACUGGCCUGUCCGUUGUAAACAAGAAGCUUGAACACAAAGUCAAUAAGCACUCGACAAUCCACUCUCUGGCUAUUGCAAAACGUGACUCGAUAAACUGCUCUGUCUCACAAGCUCUUAAUGAUAAUCGGGUUUCUGACACGGAGUUUCAACUGAUCACACGUGAAAUGCAGAAAUAUCGCCAGCUUAAAGAGACUUUACGCUUGAACUUCGCGCAAAUACAAACAAAUCCAAUCCAGCCAGAUAUUGAAAAAAUAAGAAACCAGGUUCGGGAAGAAUAUAGAAAAAACCUUGCGGAUUAAACAGCAGAUUUGAACUAAAUUUUGUGCGAAAAAACACAAAACUAUCUCUGUCUUGUUAAAACAGAUGAUUGCGUUACACCGCGUUACCCUCACGCGUGACAUUGCGUGACUGGGUUACGUUACUGUCACGCGUGACGUUGCGUGACAGGUCACACACAAGGGCAACACCCUGUCGGGGGUGCUCAUUGGCUGUUCUUUGUGCCUAGCCCCGGAUAGGUCUUUUUCGUGCCGCUGACAAGGCGGUUGUCCCGUUUUACCUCCGGACGAGGUUUGAGGUCCCAAGGGACCUCUGAGCACCCCCAGUCACCACUGGGCUGGGGCGGGUUCACCCGGGGUUGUCACCGUGGACGAUCUCACCUCAUACCCCUGACAAGCGCCUGUACGUGCCGUAUUAGGAAUCAGAGGUGGCCACCCUCACAUCCAAAAGGACCAUCAUUUGCUUGCUGAUAAACAGUAAAAUUACUCAAGCUAUAUACAUUGAUCCAGUCCCGCUCCUAUCACUUGUGGUGUUGCUUCUCUGUCCUUCGCAGGUUUUCACACAUACGCCUGCACUUUUGGGUGGCGAGAUGAUGUCAUGCUUGAGCUAUAUUUAGAGCUUGGCUGAAUAAAUUAUAUCCCAACAGCAGUUCUGAAGGCCAAAAUGAUUGUGCUGUUCCACGCUAUUUGCUUUAUUUUCACGGAACUUUCUACGCCCGUUUGGCAGAAAGAGGUCAGACAGAUAACAUAUCAAGUCGUUGAAGCCAUGCGAGAAGCAGAGGAAACUUGAAUGGGCUCGAUUGAGGCCCUUGUUCAAGAAUAUUUCAUGUUACGAGCGAUCGAACGCUGCGAUCGAAUCUUGCUAUUUUCUCGUUUCCUCCCGCUCGCUUCACUUCGGCAGCUUCUGUGGUGAAAAAAUAACUUACAGCACGUUGACUGAGCAUAUUUUUUCGGUAAAUUCUGUUCUGGUUCGUCAUUUUCGGCCCAAAGAAAAAAAUCUUGAGUUGUCCUCCAUGUUUUUCAGUACUGCUCGGCCAAGGGUCUGGGGAAUAUUUGGUUCCAGUCUUUCUGAGAAAAAUGUCACGCAACUCGCAAAACUUUUACUUCGAACGAAGGUUAGUCGCCGCCUUUUUCGCUAACGCUCCCUGCCAAAAAGGAACCACUCGUGCCAAUUAUAACCGUUCCAAGAGCAUAUUUCUAAAAAAUUCUUGUACUCUGGGUCAGCUUCUAUUAACUCCAUCGGCCGGCUUAGCUAUGCUUUAUGAAGAUUUCCCUCCCUUUGGAAACACGGGAAACAACAACCCUCAAAAUAACAGUCCAGAUAUUCAAUGCAAAUUACCAUUGGCACAAUUUGCUGCUUGAAUUCGCAGAAUGGCAGUUUUGGAAUAUUCUCUUGUACCUUACCCCACCCCAUUUCCUUUUUUUCCUCAAUUUUUAUUGCGAUGUUCUCCUUGAGAUUCAUCUCACGGAGCUCUGGAGGGAGGUUUUGAAUGGCCUCGGAAAGUCCACAGCUUUCUUUCCGGCCCCGCAUCAGCCACCCGCACUUGUUUGGUGCUUGAGACAUCGCAGCUCGGGCGGUAUAACAGCGGGCUCGCUUGUUUCCAAUUGCCGUGGGGGCAGCCCCCCACCCCUAGUUGUAAGUAGUAUAUAAGGAGUCACACAAAUACUGUUUCAAAGCGGGAGCUGAAUUUCGCUUUUCGCAACCCCCAGGUUCAACCGGCCCAAGCUUGUGAGGGCCAGUCUUGAUGGUGGUGGUUGCGAAACGGUGAAAUAAGGCUCCCUCGGUGAAAUAAGGCUCCCUCUGCAAAACGGUAUUUGUGUGACUCCCUAUAUACUACAAGGUACAACUGCUGCAUAUAUUUCCUUAAAACUGGAUUCCUCCAUUCAACUCCAGCAAUUUGUUUGGAUGUUCCACAACAAAGCAUCUUGCUAAGCGACCCUAACUAUUCGUGAAGAGUAUUCACUUUUGUUCAGCUGGGCCAUUUGACACGAGUCCUCGAGCAGGAAUCAGCGAAACAGGUCCAACCACCGCAGCAAAGGCCACAGGACAAUUUUUCUCCUUACAAGGUGUUGACGUGAGCAUACUUGGCCAUUGAUCUACCAAUGCUCUAUUUGGCAAUGUGCUGUUAUCUUCUUCGAUAUCCACAGAUGUCACAAGUGCUCUAAAAUCCUCUAAGGCAACACGCUUUGUAGCUUGCUCUUCGGAGUCGCUGAGCUGGUUUGGGGAAGGUGUUGGGACUGGUAAUGGAACAGCAGAACACUUCUUCGACUGGGCAAUCUUCUGAAUUGAGCUAUUCACUUCGUGAAGAUUCUUUAAGAGUUCCCUUCAUUUCUUCAGUGCAAACAGACAAUUUCUACAAAUAUACGUGGAAUUGAUUUCAACUUUACACUCCAAAGACAACAAUUCCUCUUGAAAUUUAAAAGAAUUGCCCCUUAGACCAUCAACAAGAUUUUUAUCCGUAUUUUUUAUGAUGGCUAAGCCACAGAGAACACAUAAACUCAUUGUCAAAAUCUCACAUCAUAUUGUGGUUGCGAACGAAAGUGAAAGAUUCUUUAGAGAAGACUCCAAUUGCAAAGCCCGCGAAAAUGAAAGCCAAUCAAAUCUCACUAUUUCAGUGAUGUAAUGAUGUAAGGGAAAUAACCAAUCACAUCAUUUUCCACACAUUCCAGAAAAAGUCACAUGGUCUUUGAACAUGAUAAUCAACAGUAAAUCAGAGACGCUCC